UUCCCUGUAGCUCAGUUGGUAAAGAAUCUGCCUGCAGUGCAGGAGACCUGGGCUCGAUUCCUGGCCGGGAAG
rnacentral:tRNA from 1 species